AAGUCGUAACAAGGUUUCCGUAGGUGAACCUGCGGAAGGAUCAUUACACUGUUAAAAUAUUUACACGCAAGAAGGCAAUUGAUACAGCUUGAUUUAGCAAGUAACAACAUUUAGCUAUUGAUUUUUUCAAAUUUAUUUGAGAUUUGAGAUGGUUCUUUGCGGGUUUGUGCUACCUGACAUGCUAGAUUAAAAAUCUGAUUUACUCCUUUUUGGUGGUGAUUGGAUUCUACUACUGCAUAGUAGUUGGCUGUAGCAAUUGUUGUCCAGAAAACAGCACUUUUCUCUUUUAUCCAACUUUUACACAAUCUUCUUAAUUCUGAAACAAACAAAUUUACACCUUUAAGCGGUGGAUACCUCGGCUAUCAUAACGAUGAAGAACGCAGC
rnacentral:misc_RNA from 1 species